AAGGUUAAGCCUCACGGUUCAUUAGUACCGGUUAGCUCAACGCAUCGCUGCGCUUACACACCCGGCCUAUCAACGUCGUCGUCUUCAACGUUCCUUCAGGACCCUUAAAGGGUCAGGGAGAACUCAUCUCGGGGCAAGUUUCGUGCUUAGAUGCUUUCAGCACUUAUCUCUUCCGCAUUUAGCUACCGGGCAGUGCCAUUGGCAUGACAACCCGAACACCAGUGAUGCGUCCACUCCGGUCCUCUCGUACUAGGAGCAGCCCCCCUCAGUUCUCCAGCGCCCACGGCAGAUAGGGACCGAACUGUCUCACGACGUUCUAAACCCAGCUCGCGUACCACUUUAAAUGGCGAACAGCCAUACCCUUGGGACCUACUUCAGCCCCAGGAUGUGAUGAGCCGACAUCGAGGUGCCAAACACCGCCGUCGAUAUGAACUCUUGGGCGGUAUCAGCCUGUUAUCCCCGGAGUACCUUUUAUCCGUUGAGCGAUGGCCCUUCCAUUCAGAACCACCGGAUCACUAUGACCUGCUUUCGCACCUGCUCGCGCCGUCACGCUCGCAGUCAAGCUGGCUUAUGCCAUUGCACUAACCUCCUGAUGUCCGACCAGGAUUAGCCAACCUUCGUGCUCCUCCGUUACUCUUUAGGAGGAGACCGCCCCAGUCAAACUACCCACCAGACACUGUCCGCAACCCGGAUUACGGGUCCACGUUAGAACAUCAAACAUUAAAGGGUGGUAUUUCAAGGUCGGCUCCAUGCAGACUGGCGUCCACACUUCAAAGCCUCCCACCUAUCCUACACAUCAAGGCUCAAUGUUCAGUGUCAAGCUAUAGUAAAGGUUCACGGGGUCUUUCCGUCUUGCCGCGGGUACACUGCAUCUUCACAGCGAGUUCAAUUUCACUGAGUCUCGGGUGGAGACAGCCUGGCCAUCAUUACGCCAUUCGUGCAGGUCGGAACUUACCCGACAAGGAAUUUCGCUACCUUAGGACCGUUAUAGUUACGGCCGCCGUUUACCGGGGCUUCGAUCAAGAGCUUCGCUUGCGCUAACCCCAUCAAUUAACCUUCCGGCACCGGGCAGGCGUCACACCGUAUACGUCCACUUUCGUGUUUGCACAGUGCUGUGUUUUUAAUAAACAGUUGCAGCCAGCUGGUAUCUUCGACUGAUUUCAGCUCCACGAGCAAGUCGCUUCACCUACGUAUCAGCGUGCCUUCUCCCGAAGUUACGGCACCAUUUUGCCUAGUUCCUUCACCCGAGUUCUCUCAAGCGCCUUGGUAUUCUCUACCUGACCACCUGUGUCGGUUUGGGGUACGAUUUGAUGUUACCUGAUGCUUAGAGGCUUUUCCUGGAAGCAGGGCAUUUGUUGCUUCAGCACCGUAGUGCCUCGUCAUCACGCCUCGGCCUUGAUUUUCCGGAUUUGCCUGGAAAACCAGCCUACACGCUUAAACCGGGACAACCGUCGCCCGGCCAACAUAGCCUUCUCCGUCCCCCCUUCGCAGUAACACCAAGUACAGGAAUAUUAACCUGUUUCCCAUCGACUACGCCUUUCGGCCUCGCCUUAGGGGUCGACUCACCCUGCCCCGAUUAACGUUGGACAGGAACCCUUGGUCUUCCGGCGAGCGGGCUUUUCACCCGCUUUAUCGUUACUUAUGUCAGCAUUCGCACUUCUGAUACCUCCAGCAUACCUCACAGUACACCUUCACAGGCUUACAGAACGCUCCCCUACCCAACAACGCAUAAGCGUCGCUGCCGCAGCUUCGGUGCAUGGUUUAGCCCCGUUACAUCUUCCGCGCAGGCCGACUCGACCAGUGAGCUAUUACGCUUUCUUUAAAUGAUGGCUGCUUCUAAGCCAACAUCCUGGCUGUCUGGGCCUUCCCACAUCGUUUCCCACUUAACCAUGACUUUGGGACCUUAGCUGGCGGUCUGGGUUGUUUCCCUCUUCACGACGGACGUUAGCACCCGCCGUGUGUCUCCCGUGAUAACAUUCUCCGGUAUUCGCAGUUUGCAUCGGGUUGGUAAGUCGGGAUGACCCCCUUGCCGAAACAGUGCUCUACCCCCGGAGAUGAAUUCACGAGGCGCUACCUAAAUAGCUUUCGGGGAGAACCAGCUAUCUCCCGGUUUGAUUGGCCUUUCACCCCCAGCCACAAGUCAUCCGCUAAUUUUUCAACAUUAGUCGGUUCGGUCCUCCAGUUAGUGUUACCCAACCUUCAACCUGCCCAUGGCUAGAUCACCGGGUUUCGGGUCUAUACCCUGCAACUUAACGCCCAGUUAAGACUCGGUUUCCCUUCGGCUCCCCUAUUCGGUUAACCUUGCUACAGAAUAUAAGUCGCUGACCCAUUAUACAAAAGGUACGCAGUCACACGCCUAAGCGUGCUCCCACUGCUUGUACGUACACGGUUUCAGGUUCUUUUUCACUCCCCUCGCCGGGGUUCUUUUCGCCUUUCCCUCACGGUACUGGUUCACUAUCGGUCAGUCAGGAGUAUUUAGCCUUGGAGGAUGGUCCCCCCAUAUUCAGACAGGAUACCACGUGUCCCGCCCUACUCAUCGAGCUCACAGUAUGUGCAUUUUUGUGUACGGGGCUGUCACCCUGUAUCGCACGCCUUUCCAGACGCUUCCACUAACACACACACUGAUUCAGGCUCUGGGCUGCUCCCCGUUCGCUCGCCGCUACUGGGGGAAUCUCGGUUGAUUUCUUUUCCUCGGGGUACUUAGAUGUUUCAGUUCCCCCGGUUCGCCUCAUUAACCUAUGGAUUCAGUUAAUGAUAGUGUGACGAAUCACACUGGGUUUCCCCAUUCGGAAAUCGCCGGUUAUAACGGUUCAUAUCACCUUACCGACGCUUAUCGCAGAUUAGCACGUCCUUCAUCGCCUCUGACUGCCAGGGCAUCCACCGUGUACGCUUAGUCGCUUAA
rnacentral:rRNA from 1 species